rnacentral:lncRNA from 1 species
CCAGUGCUGGUGGGCAACCAAGAUGUCUACUAGGAAUUUCUUUUCAUCGUUUCAAUGGACCGUUGUAAUGUAUUACAUAUUGACAGGCUGAGGUACAGCCUGUGACCAUUCUAUCUAAAGGGGAAGUUAAGUGCACGGCAUUACUGUGACACAUAAUAAUUUCAGAUCAGUAAUAUCAGUUUUUUUUGUUAUAUUGUAGCAUUACCUCGUGUGUCUUCUGCCUUUGCAGAGAGAAGAUUAUUCUGCUCCUCAGAGCAUAGUAGCAUUUGGUACAGCUAUGAAGGGCCAUUGUAUUACUUGUCAGUGACUGCUUCCCCCUGCUCUCAAGAAGUGAC